rnacentral:rRNA from 1 species
UGGGGAAUAUUGGGCAAUGGGCGCAAGCCUGACCCAGCAACGCCGCGUGAGUGAAGAAGGCCUUUGGGUUGUAAAACUCUGUUCUAUGGGAAGAAGGAAGUGACGGUACCAUAGGAGAAAGCUCCGGCUAACUACGUGCCAGCAGCCGCGGUAAUACGUAGGGAGCAAGCGUUGUCCGGAAUUACUGGGCGUAAAGGGUGCGUAGGCGGCAGCUUAAGUCAGAUGUGAAAUGCCGGGGCUCAACUCCGGAGCUGCAUCUGAUACUGGGCCGCUAGAGUGCAGGAGAGGAAAGUGGAAUUCCUAGUGUAGCGGUGGAAUGCGUAGAUAUUAGGAGGAACACCAGUGGCGAAGGCGACUUUCUGGACUGUAACUGACGCUGAGGCACGAAAGUAUGGGGAGCAAACAGGAUUAGAUACCCUGGUA